AUAAAUACUUUAUUUCAACUAGAAGGUACAAUCUCUCAGGGGUUUCAUAGUUUAAAAAGCUACAAUCACAUCAUGUUGUAACUACAUAAAAAACAGUGCUGUAAAUGGAACUGCUUGGCUUUGACCACACACAUUUCUGCACAGCCCUUACAGAAUCUGCACAAAGAAAUAUCUCCCUUUGCUCCAGUUAAUUGUUCUUGUAUGUAAGUUGCUUUCUAUUCCAGUAUAUCCAGAGUGGUGAAAUAACAAGGCCAGCCACG
rnacentral:lncRNA from 1 species